rfam:Vicugna pacos cont1.450787, whole genome shotgun sequence.
AAUCCUGCUGUGCUUGAGAUUCACGGGCCUUUCAUCUGAAAAAAAAAUACAGCUCCAUUCAAGACUCCAGAAGGAUUUGAAAACUGUCCUUUUUUGAGCUAAAGCUGGAGUAGCAUGGGAUUCGGAGGGCCACG